UCCCUCGCCACCGCCACCACCCAUGCCGGCCGGUUCCGGCGAACUCAGGCGGCGCGCAGCACGCCCCCGAGCUCCCCUAGGUCCGCUCCACCUUCCCCUCCGUCCAGAAUCGGCGCUCCCGUCCUCCACCGACCCCGUGGCUAGCUAGGGUUUCGACCGCCACCCCUAACAUCGUCGGGAUCAGCCAGAUCCGGCGACGGCGAGGCCAGAGCUCGACGGAUCCGUUACGGGCGUGGCGCAGGUACGUCCUUCCCCUCUUUCCUCGCCCGGAUCCACCCUCCCCACCUCACCUUCUCCUUUCCUUCCCUUGCUGCAGGUCACCUUGGUGCGGUCUGGACGGCGGCGACGGCAGGAGGGCGCGUCCUUCCUACUCGAGGAGGUGGAGGACGAGGGGCGCACCUAGCUGGCGGCCCUGUCCUGCUCGAGGAGGCGGGGGCUGCCGAGCUCAAGCACGGCCACGACGACCCACCUCGGCAGG
rnacentral:lncRNA from 1 species